rnacentral:lncRNA from 1 species
AUCUAAAGGAAAUGCUGAAUAUAACAAAACUGCAACAGUGAAUAACAUUUUCUGAAUGAAACCAAAGCAUUUCCUUUUAGCUCUGUUCAGUACCGAUGUAUGUCUCCCUGACAUGAUCUUGAUACCUCACAAAAGCUGGAGAUUAGAUGUUUUCCAUUAUUAAUUUUUUGCUAUGGACAGAUUUUCUGAGUGUGCCACAAGGUAUACAUCACCCAUCAUACGAAUCCCCAGGAUGAAAAAUUACUGAAUGAUGACAACCAGAAUGUCAGUGCUAAAGCCCGUUACAAACGUACCAGCAUUUUCUCCUUGAAUUUAGAGGAGAAUUUGGAAACAAGAGUGCCAUUAAAUGGAAGAUUGUCAGAGAGAACCAUACAAUUUGUGUCACUGGUCUGCCGAAGAGGUUCUUCCCCGAAGAGUAACGGGAAUUUUUCAGAGUCCUGCAUCAAAUUGGCAAUAAUAUUAAAUGGCAAGUGUUGCAUGAUUACAUCAGCACUUCUCAUAUUUUCUCUCCAGCACCCCAGUAUACUGAAUUAAUUCUGUAUGUCCCUUGGGUUGGAGGCAGAAAAUAGCAAGAAAAAUGCAAAAUAAUAUGCCACCAUUUUUAGAGGAG